rnacentral:rRNA from 2 species
UUGGAGGGCAAGUCUGGUGCCAGCAGCCGCGGUAAUUCCAGCUCCAAUAGCGUAUAUUAAAGUUGUUGCAGUUAAAAAGCUCGUAGUUGAAUUUCGAGACCGGCUUACUGGUCGUGCUAUUGUGCGUACUGGUAUAAUCGGUUUCUCCUUUCUGACGAACUAUAAUGCCAUUAAUUUGGUGUUAUAGGGAAUCAGGACUGUUACUUUGAAAAAAUUAGAGUGUUUAAAGCAGGCUCACGCUUGAAUACAUUAGCAUGGAAUAACGGAAUAGGACGUUUGAUUCUAUUUUGUUGGUUUCUAGGAUCGACGUAAUGAUUAAUAGGGAUAGUUGGGGGCAUUAGUAUUCAAUUGUCAGAGGUGAAAUUCUUGGAUUUAUUGAAGACUAACUACUGCGAAAGCAUUUGCCAAGGAUGUUUUCAUUAAUCAAGAACGAAAGUUAGGGGAUCGAAGACGAUCAGAUACCGUCGUAGUCUUAACCAUAAACUAUGCCGACUAGGGAUCGGAUGAUGUUAAUUUUUUAAUGACUCAUUCGGCGCCUUACGGGAAAC